rnacentral:rRNA from 1 species
UCAGGUGCCUAUAUCGGCGGUGUCCACCUCUUCCCAUUCCGAACAGAGAAGUUAAGCCCGCCAGAGCCGAUGGUACUGCGGUAACACGUGGGAGAGUAGGUCGGUGCCAACC